rnacentral:tRNA from 1 species
UCCCUGGUGGUCCAGUGGUUAGGACUCUGCACUCUACUGCAGGAAACACAGGUUUGAUUCCUGGUUGGGCAA